rnacentral:rRNA from 1 species
GUGAGGAAUAUUGGUCAAUGGACGAGAGUCUGAACCAGCCAAGUCGCGUGAAGGAAGACGGUUCUAUGAAUUGUAAACUUCUUUUGUGCAGGAAUAAAGUGGGUUACGUGUAACCUUUUGUAUGUACUGUACGAAUAAGGAUCGGCUAACUCCGUGCCAGCAGCCGCGGUAAUACGGAGGAUCCGAGCGUUAUCCGGAUUUAUUGGGUUUAAAGGGUGCGUAGGUGGAUUGAUAAGUCAGCGGUGAAAGUUUGCAGCUUAACUGUAAAAUUGCCGUUGAAACUGUCGGUCUUGAGUGCAAAUGAGGUAGGCGGAAUGUGUUGUGUAGCGGUGAAAUGCUUAGAUAUAACACAGAACUCCGAUUGCGAAGGCAGCUUACUGGGACGCAACUGACACUGAUGCACGAAAGCGUGGGUAUCAAACAGGAUUAGAAACCCCAGUAGUCC